rnacentral:rRNA from 1 species
ACGAACGCUGGCGGCGUGCCUAAUACAUGCAAGUCGAGCGGAAUGAUGAAGAAGCUUGCUUCUUCUGAUUUUAGCGGCGGACGGGUGAGUAACACGUGGGCAACCUACCUUGUAGAUUGGGAUAACUCCGGGAAACCGGGGCUAAUACCGAAUAAUCCAUUUCGCUUCAUGGCGAGAUGUUGAAAGACGGUUUCGGCUGUCACUACAAGAUGGGCCCGCGGCGCAUUAGCUAGUUGGUAGGGUAAUGGCCUACCAAGGCGACGAUGCGUAGCCGACCUGAGAGGGUGAUCGGCCACACUGGGACUGAGACACGGCCCAGACUCCUACGGGAGGCAGCAGUAGGGAAUCUUCCACAAUGGACGAAAGUCUGAUGGAGCAACGCCGCGUGAGUGAAGAAGGUUUUCGGAUCGUAAAACUCUGUUGUAAGGGAAGAACACGUACGAGAGUAACUGCUCGUACCUUGACGGUACCUUAUUAGAAAGCCACGGCUAACUACGUG